AAGGAGUCCAACACAUAUGCGAGUGUUUGGGUGGCAAACCCGAGCGCGGAAUGAAAGUGAAUGGAGGUGGGAUUCUUCGGAAGCACCAUCGACCGGUCUGGAUUUCUUUGAAAGAUCUGAGUAAGAGCAUAUUUGUUGGGACCCGAAAGAUGGUGAACUAUGCCUGAAUAGGGUGAAGUCAGAGGAAACUCUGAUGGAAGCUCGUAGCGGUUCUGACGUGCAAAUCGAUCGUCAAAUUUGGGUAUAGGGGCGAAAGACUAAUCGAACCAUCUAGUAGCUGGUUCCCUC
rnacentral:misc_RNA from 1 species